rnacentral:rRNA from 1 species
CCUACGGGAGGCUGCAGUGAGGAAUAUUGGUCAAUGGACGCAAGUCUGAACCAGCCAUGCCGCGUGCAGGAAGACGGCUCUAUGAGUUGUAAACUGCUUUUGUACGAGGGUAAACGCAGAUACGCGUAUCUGUCUGAAAGUAUCGUACGAAUAAGGAUCGGCUAACUCCGUGCCAGCAGCCGCGGGAAUACGGAGGAUUCAAGCGUUAUCCGGAUUUAUUGGGUUGAAAGGCUGCGUAGGCGGUCGGAUAAGUUAGAGGUGAAAUCCCGAGGCUCAACUUCGGAAUUGCCUCUGAUACUGUGCGGCUAGAGAGUAGUUGCGGUAGGCGGAAUGUAAGGUGUAGCGGUGAAAUGCGUAGAGAUCAGACAGAACACCGAUGGCGAAGGCGGCUUUCCAAGCUACUACUGACGUUGAGGCACGAAAGCGUGGGGAGCAAACAGGAUUAGAUACCCCAGUAGUC